rnacentral:rRNA from 1 species
CCUACGGGUGGCUGCAGUGAGGAAUAUUGGUCAAUGGACGAGAGUCUGAACCAGCCAAGUAGCGUGAAGGAUGACUGCCCUAUGGGUUGUAAACUUCUUUUAUAUGGGAAUAAAAUGUUCCACGUGUGGGAUUUUGUAUGUACCAUAUGAAUAAGGAUGGGCUAACUCCGUGCCAGCAGCCGCGGUAAUACGGAGGAUCCGAGCGUUAUCCGGAUUUAUUGGGUUUAAAGGGUGCGUAGGCGGGCUGUUAAGUCAGCGGUCAAAUGUCGGGGCUCAACCCCGGCCUGCCGUUGAAACUGGCGGCCUCGAGUGGGCGAGAAGUAUGCGGAAUGCGUGGUGUAGCGGUGAAAUGCAUAGAUAUCACGCAGAACUCCGAUUGCGAAGGCAGCAUACCGGCGCCCGACUGACGCUGAGGCACGAAAGCGUGGGUAUCGAACAGGAUUAGAUACCCGUGUAGUC